GCUGGGAUAUCUCAUUCGGAAGAGCAUGAGACUCUUAAUCUCAGGGUUGUGGAUUUGAGCCCCAUGUUGGGAAAAGAUUCCUGC
rnacentral:tRNA from 1 species